UCAUUGGUAGUCCAGUGGCUAAGACUCUGCACUUCCAAUGCAGGGGGCCUGGGUUCUGUCCCUGGUCAGGGAA
rfam:TPA: Bos taurus chromosome 7, whole genome shotgun sequence.